rnacentral:lncRNA from 1 species
CAAGCUCAGAGGAUGCUGAGGCUGCUCAACAGGUGACCACACUUUGAAUAAUGAGGAGUAAGAACACAGAAUAGGGAGUGUGCCCUAUGGGUAUAACCAGGAAGCUACUGGGAGGCCCAGUCGCAAGGCGCAAAACUACUUGCACCAGCAGCGUGCACCAGCAAGAUAGCAGAAGCUGGAAGAGAGCCGGCUGGAAGACAUAUACCCUGGCUGGAAGACACCUACCCUUGAAGAUCGAGAAACAGGCCAUCUGGGUACCACAUAGCAGUUAUGUCAGGC